rnacentral:rRNA from 1 species
UACGAAGGGUGCAAGCGUUACUCGGAAUUACUGGGCGUAAAGCGUGCGUAGGUGGUUUGUUAAGUCUGAUGUGAAAGCCCUGGGCUCAACCUGGGAAUUGCAUUGGGAUACUGGCAGGCUAGAGUGCGGUAGAGGUAGUGGAAUUCCCGGUGUAGCAGUGAAAUGCGUAGAGAUCGGGAGGAACAUCUGUGGCGAAGGCGACUACCUGGACCAGCACUGACACUGAGGCACGAAAGCGUGGGGAGCAAACAGG